GCUGGCUGUGGUGGUGCACGUGCCUGUAGUUCUAUCUGUUCAAGAGGUUAAGACAAGAGGAUUAUUUGAGCCUAUGAGUUCUGGGCUGUAGUACUCUAUGCAGAUUGGGUGUCCACAUUAAGUAUCAGUGUGGUAAACUCCCAGGAGCUGGGAACCACCAAGUUGCCUAAGGAGUCAUGAACCAGCCCACUUUGGAAAUGGAGCAGGUCAAAACUCCCAUGCUGAUCCAUAGUGGGAUCAUACCUUUGAAUAGUCUCUGCACUCUAGCAUGGACAACAUAGUAAGACCUCAUCACUU
rnacentral:SRP_RNA from 1 species